rnacentral:lncRNA from 1 species
ACAUUCAGACAAACCAAAUACUUCCAAACAGAUCCCAGCAAAGAUAAUGUGUUUGUUCUCAAAACAUUGAUUUAGGACCAAAUUACACUUCCAGAUGAUUGGGUCUUCAAAAGAUCUGUUCCCACAAUCAGACAAGAACAAAGCCAUGUAGAGACUAUGACUACCUAUCCGAAAGGAGAUGUCUCUAUUAGGUUCAAUAGGUCAAAAUUAACCAAAUGCCAUAGUUUUAGACAUGAGUCUACAACUGUACAAUCUAGUUUACAGUAAAAAUAAAGCUGCUCAGCAACAACAAGUCCUAAAUUAAACCAAGUAAAUUUUGAACUCAAAGUCCCCCAGCU